rnacentral:rRNA from 1 species
GAUGAACGCUGGCGGCGUGCUUAACACAUGCAAGUCGAACGAAGCACUUUUAUUUGAUUUCUUCGGAAUGAAGAUUUUAGUGACUGUGUGGCGGACGGGUGAGUAACGCGUGGGUAACCUGCCUCAUACAGGGGGAUAACAGUUAGAAAUGACUGCUAAUACCGCAUAAGACCACAGCACCGCAUGGUGCAGAGGUAAAAACUCCGGUGGUAUGAGAUGGACCCGCGUCUGAUUAGGUAGUUGGUGGGGUAACGGCCUACCAAGCCGACGAUCAGUAGCCGACCUGAGAGGGUGACCGGCCACAUUGGGACUGAGACACGGCCCAAACUCCUACGGGAGGCAGCAGUGGGGAAUAUUGCACAAUGGGGGAAACCCUGAUGCAGCGACGCCGCGUGAGCGAUGAAGUAUUUCGGUAUGUAAAGCUCUAUCAGCAGGGAAGAAAAUGACGUACCUGACUAAGAAGCACCGGCUAAAUACGUGCCAGCCGCCGCCGUAA